rnacentral:rRNA from 1 species
GCAUAUCAAUAAGCGGAGGAAAAGAAAAUAACAAUGAUUCCCUCAGUAACGGCGAGCGAAGAGGGAUAAGCUCAAAUUUUAAAUCUGUUGGGUUCCACUCGACAGAGUUGUAUUUUGAAGAAACGUUUUCUGCGUCCAGGAUUAGCCUAAGUCCUUUGGGAUAAGGUAUCAUGGAGGGUGAGAAUCCCGUUCAUGGUUAAUCUUAAGGAAGCUCUACGAUACGUUUUCCAAGAGUCGAGUUGUUUGGGAUUGCAGCUCAAAAUGGGAGGUAAAUUUCUCCUAAGGCUAAAUAUUGGCGAGAGACCGAUAGCGAACAAGUACCGUGAGGGAAAGAUGAAAAGAACUUUGAAAAGAGAGUUAAACAGUACGUGAAAUUGUUGAAAGGGAAACGAUUGAAGUCAGUCAUACCAACGGGAAAUUAACCUUUUGAGCUCGGUCUCGUGGGUUUUGAAGAGUUUCAAAGCCUUCGGAUUCGCGGGAUUGGGAUCUCUUGGCGUACUUUUUCGUACGGUUAGUCAACAUCGGUUUUGAAUGUCAUAAAAUGACUGGAGGAAUGUAGCUUCGAUCUCGUAUUGGAGUGUUAUAGCCUUCGGUAGAUGUGAUGUUUGAGACCGAGGAUUGCAACGGAUACCCUUCAGGGCUAUUCGUCUGAUCUCUGAUACGUUGCCCUGAUGUUGAAAGCUUGCCUAUGAUGUUAGGGUAUUACGGUCAAAAGGUUAGAACGAAUUACAUUCGUUAAGGAUGUUGACGUAAUGGCUUUAAACGAC